AGGGGUGUAGCUCAGCUGGUCAGAGCGCUGGUCUCCAAAACCAGAUGUCGUAGGUUCGAAUCCUGCCACCCCUG
rnacentral:tRNA from 3 species